ACGGGAGGCAGCAGUGGGGAAUAUUGCACAAUGGGCGAAAGCCUGAUGCAGCGACGCCGCGUGAACGAAGAAGUAUUUCGGUAUGUAAAGUUCUAUCAGCAGGGAAGAAGAAUGACGGUACCUGACUAAGAAGCACCGGCUAAAUACGUGCCAGCAGCCGCGGUAAUACGUAUGGUGCAAGCGUUAUCCGGAUUUACUGGGUGUAAAGGGAGCGCAGGCGGUAUGGCAAGUCUGAUGUGAAAGCCCGGGGCUCAACCCCGGUACUGCAUUGGAAACUACCAGACUAGAGUGUCGGAGAGGUAAGUGGAAUUCCUAGUGUAGCGGUGAAAUGCGUAGAUAUUAGGAGGAACACCAGUGGCGAAGGCGGCUUACUGGACUGUAACUGACGUUGAGGCUCGAAAGCGUGGGGAGCAAACAGGAUUAGAUACCCUGGUA
rnacentral:rRNA from 1 species